rnacentral:rRNA from 1 species
AGUCGACGGGAGAAUUGCUAGCUUGCUAAUAAUUCUCUAGUGGCGCACGGGUGAGUAACACGUGAGUAACCUGCCCCCAAGAGUGGGAUAGCCCCGGGAAACUGGGAUUAAUACCGCAUAAAAUCGCAAGAUUAAAGCAGCAAUGCGCUUGGGGAUGGGCUCGCGUCCUAUUAGUUAGUUGGUGAGGUAACGGCUCACCAAGGCGAUGACGGGUAGCCGGUCUGAGAGGAUGUCCGGCCACACUGGAACUGAGACACGGUCCAGACACCUACGGGUGGCAGCAGUCGAGAAUCAUUCACAAUGGGGGAAACCCUGAUGGUGCGACGCCGCGUGGGGGAAUGAAGGUCUUCGGAUUGUAAGCCCCUGUCAUGUGGGAGCAAAUUAAAAAGAUAGUACCACAAGAGGAAGAGACGGCUAACUCUGUGCCAGCAGCCGCGGUAAUACAGAGGUCUCAAGCGUUGUUCGGAAUCACUGGGCGUAAAGCGUGCGUAGGCGGUUUCGUAAGUCGUGUGUGAAAGGCGGGGGCUCAACCCCCGGACUGCACAUGAUACUGCGAGACUAGAGUAAUGGAGGGGGAACCGGAAUUCUCGGUGUAGCAGUGAAAUGCGUAGAUAUCGAGAGGAACACUCGUGGCGAAGGCGGGUUCCUGGACAUUAACUGACGCUGAGGCACGAAGGCCAGGGGAGCGAAAGGGAUUAGAUACCCCUGUAGUCCUGGC